rnacentral:sRNA from 1 species
UUGAGAGCUCUAGAGAUUUAAAACCUCUGUUCAUUAAUAGAAAUACCAGUACUGCAGACACUGACAGUUGCAAAUGUCUUCUCACCUGCCCCACCAGUAUUCCUCAACCCUGACCUGGAGAAACCUCCUCUGCGGGUGAAAGAGUAAUUCAGUCUUCAUGUCCAUUUACACCCUGACCUCU